rnacentral:lncRNA from 1 species
UAUAUAUAUAUAUGAAUGAGAGACAGAGAGAGAGAGAGAGAGAGAGAGACACAGAGAGAGAGAGAGAGAGAGAGAGAGAGAGAGAGAGAGAGAGAGAGAGAGAGAGAGAGAGAGAGAGAGAGAGAGAGAGAGAGAGAGAGAGAGAGACAGAGAGAGCGAGAGAGCGAGAGAGCGAGAGAGAGAGAGGGUAAUUCUAUUGAUAUGAGGGUCCUGUAUGUCGGAGAUAUUUAAUAAAGAGAUGCAGAUAUAUCAACUUAUUACUGGAUGUUAAAAAGAGAGCCCCCCCCCACACUCUACUUCCAUUUUGUUUGAUUGUAUAUUAUUUUCCAUAACAAAUAUAGUAUGGCUUUGUCAGAAUAUUGUUGGGACUAUUAGAUAAAACACACAGUGAUGUUUGUCUGUAGUCCUUUCCUUUUUAUCUUCCAAUUCCAACAGGAAGUCAACAACAGAAAGAGGAAAUGAGGCAUGGUCACCUGACCUCAACUCUCGUCUGUCCACUUCCUGUAAAGGCUGUGACGGGCUCUUGAUAAAGCUCAGUGUCGUCGUAGCAACGGAAUCGGUAGGGUAGCUGUCCGUCAGGCAGAGGGGGAGGGGACCUGGAGGAAAAAAAGGGGGCAGGGUUGGCCACAGCCAAUCUGACAAGACAAGAAGGGGUCAGCCAAGGUCAAAGUUCAAGGUCACAUGGAGCUCACAGGAACUGCUGUCCAAUCACAGCCGUGUACCUCUGUGCAUGCAGAGUGUCAGAGGUUAGAGGUCAGGGGAGGAGCUAGAGAAGAUCCGUCCUUGUAAACGUGGAUUCAGUCCAUCCAUAGACGUCCCAAGGAGUGGUGGUGUGUCAGUUAACAGUUUGAAGGCUCCAGCUGCACUGUGGGCCAACUAGUCCAUAGAUAUAGUAGGUCACACACGCUCAUAAAUGUGUCCGUCUGUCUUCUCCCUAUGCCUCGCCUCGGCUGUAGCUCCUCUCCCCCGUAGCGUCUCACUUCCUGUACGUCCCCUAGAGUUGCAGUUCCAGUUUCACCAUCUACCUCUCUAGAAGGAUUCAGUGUCUGUUCUUUCUUGUUGCCAAAACUCCUCUUGAUAUGGUUUUACUUGCAAUUAUCAUCCAAGAGAACAAACAGAGGAGAAACUCCCCACGGAGGUUGACUAAAGGAUAGGCCUGUCAAAGAGAGAGAGAGAGAAAAAGUAAAGGUGGAAGAGGGUGGAUGGACGGGAGAGAGAGAGAGAGGGGAAGGUGAGGUUAGGAGGGAUGGAGGGAAGGGAGGAUAUCAAUCUUUGCUGGCGGCGGUGAGUUGCUGGACAGGGAGUUGGAGCUGGAGGGG